rnacentral:rRNA from 1 species
UACGUAGGGGGCAAGCGUUGUCCGGAUUUAUUGGGCGUAAAGAGCGUGUAGGCGGUUUGGUAGGUCCGCUGUGAAAACUCGAGGCUCAACCUCGAGACGCCGGUGGAAACCAUCAGACUAGAGUCCGGAAGAGGAGAGUGGAAUUCCUGGUGUAGCGGUGAAAUGCGCAGAUAUCAGGAAGAACACCCGUGGCUAAGGCGGCUCUCUAGUACGGUACUGGACGCUGAAGACGCGAAAGCGUGGGGAGCGAACAGG